AAACCUAAACCCCACCGCUGCUCUCUCCUACCACCAGCCGCCGCCCUGCACCAGACCAUCUCGGCUACCUACUGUGCCCAUCUCAGUUCCCACACCGGCCGGCAGCCUUCAUCCCUGUACCCUACCCCAUCGGAGAAAGACAAGGAUUGGCAUGGCACGCGAAGGAGGACAGCGGUGGCACCACAUCUCAGUCGUGGCUCUCACCCUAGCCAUCGGAGCUGAGGUGGGCAUGAUUCUGACAUGCGACUUCGGACAGAGGUGGCCACCAUGGACGAAUUAGCGUUGCAGCCAGCCAAUGGGAGCUUUUGUGGCUUUGAGUGAGCUAGGCCGCGGAUGAAGCGGCUGCUGGAGUCAAGGUGAGCUGAAUCAAAUUUUGUUUGUGCAUCUGUCACCCCUUGGCUCCUCUCUCUCUCACUCUCUCUCCCACUCACUCUAUCCAUCUAUGCAAGGAGGAUCCACGCAAUGGGGGCUCUGGAUCUAUUGGAUCUGUCGUGGGCAGACCAAAUCCAUCGUGGAUGUCACAGAUCCACAUUAUGAGUGGAAGAAGUAAGCAUGGCUUGAGCCGCAGCAUGGACAUGGAAACCCUGGCAAAGAAAAGGGGUGGCAAAUCAAAUGGAAUUAUAGUGCAGUUUGGAGGAUGGAUAAUCGGGCUACUCUUGCAGCACAGCAGCUGCUUCUAGCACAAGCUCUCAUGAGAACACCCCAAUAAUGUAGUGAAAGAUGAUUGGACAUAAAUGUUAUAUAUUUUGUCAACCAAUUCUUGUAGUUUGACCUAUUGGAUGAAAACUUUUAUAUGAUCUAUUGUUGGUUGAAAUGUGAGACUCUAUAUUUGAUUACUGGAUAAAAACUUGAUUUAUUGCA